rnacentral:misc_RNA from 1 species
UAAAAUAGAUGGGACUAUUCGAUUGUAAGCAACCCGAAGACCGCGAGCCCGGCCACCCCGCGAAGGGUGUCCCCGACGAAAAAUGGAUUUAUUACGCCGAGUCAAACCGUGCUGUUCGCAGACAGGUCAGCUCAUGUAUUUCAGACGAGCCACACCCCCGAGGGGGGCCGGCAGCGUCCAUGAUCCAAGCCCGAGGUGGUCCGUUUAAAAGACCCCAGGGGUUGAGAGUAUUAUGACACUCAAACAGGCAUGCUCCCCGGAAUGACCAGGGAGCGCAAGGUGCGUUCAAAGAUUCGAUGAUUCACUGAAUUCUGCAAUUCACAUUACUUAUCACAUUUCGCUGCGUUCUUCAUCGAUGCGAGAGCCAAGAGAUCCGUUGUUGAAAGUUUUAUUUUGUUUAUAGUAAACGAUGACAUCCUGAGGACUUGUGUUAUAAAAAAAAAAAAGGUAACGGUGCACAGGUGUUNGAARAGUGAAGUUUGGGCUCCAAAGAC